UAAUGUGCGAAAAUGAGUCAUUACAGUAAAUUGUUAAAGCUACAUUUAUGGUAUGUGAAGUACUUGAUGAGAAAUUUUUAAGCAUAAAAAGAUUAAAUAAACGCAGGGGGCGGUGACAAAGUCGUUGGACUGCGGGGCGUAAUGGGGAUCGCACGGCGUUCCAGCGAUCGCGUUAGACUCGUGGGCAGCAAAGACGCGAAUGUUGACGUCACUCAGGUCCAGGGACGAGAAGAGAUACCUGAAAAUGUUAAUUGUUACUUCGAGUACUUGAAAUUAAGUUAAAUGAGAAAGUGCGUGAUCAGAUCAGAGCCUGUCAGACGCAACUGGCCGUCACCGGCUGUCGAGCAAGUUGCAUAUCUGACACGGUGACCUGCUUUCACUUUACCAGCUGUGAGAAAUACGCGGCCUGAGGCGCAGCGACAGAAACACCGCGAGUCCGACACAAGAAAAAAAAAUGUUUAAUUAGAGCCUCUUGCAGACACAAACCAAUAAAUGUCAGUUUAUUGUUGUUUUGCGGUGACACGCAAGAUGACAGCUGAGCUUGUGCGUUGUGCUUUGGCAUAAUUCGCAAAAAAAUGGAAUGAGAUGACAUAAAAAAUAAAUUAAUGUCUUAAAACGACGAAUUAUUCAAUUUUAUUUCUCUUGGGACCACACAGGAUAUAAUUCAACACCAAAAAUGUGAAAAGGUAAAAUAAUAAAAUUUAAUCGCUCUAGUAAAUACAUAUGAAGAAAAAUUUUAGGUAUUAAUUUCAAAGUAGCUACAAGCCAGAAGUUAGAUUGUUUGUUGACAACCUUGUCUUCAACUAUGGUGGCUGCCGAAAGGUGGCGCUCUCUCCUACCCUGGCUGCCUGAGUAUAUCCGUGUUAACCUGAUAAGGAGUUAUUCUAAACUCGACGAUCAACGUGUGCGGUAGCAGCAAAUAUUGCUCCCUCGGCCGCACAUUUUAGGAGUUCGUUAACCUUUGAGCACAUAGCUCCCUUUUACGAACCCUAUAAUUGACGAAUAAUUGAACUACCUUGCUUGUAUAUUGCCAAUCUCUGACAACUCCCUUUUAGGGACUAAAUAACGGCAAAUACAAUAAAGGCAUUGCAACAAUUUGUGUGGUUUGACUUAUCUCGACCAUUCCCCAUACAACUAACAAUAAGUCGCCACAAGGACAUUUCUGACAGCAGAAGACGCGCCUGCAACGCUAAAGAAGUGUGUAUGCCGCACGAGAAGACUCCUGCGCGGUGCGGUGUGGUGAUGAAAAACCGCAAAAACGCUAUUUUGGUGUCAAAAGUCGCGGUUGAGGUGUCUUUAUGGCUUUGGGAGUGCGGUUGCAGUUUACCGUUGUCCAAUAAGUACAUUUCAAUAAAAUAUAAAUUCGCGUAUCUAAACAGAUAAAAUUGAUUUCGCGAGUUGCGGGUAGGCCUUUAGUGUUCGAAGCUGGGCUUGAGUAUAAUGCGGUUUUUGCGUUUUUGAUUGCAGCUUGUUUCUACAGAAAAAAAUUACGUUUAAAAUAUCAAAAAACACAAAAACCCAUUCCCUCUCCAUUGGGAAUUUUUGUUCAUUGUAUGACCUUGUGCAAAAACCGCAAAAAGCUGGUAAAUAACUCAAACAACCACAGCACUGCAAGUUUGGGAAACUCACCGGAAGUUACCCAGUCGCUUAUGAACCACAGAGUUACAUAAGAGAUUCGUGGCACUUUUAUAACCAGCGGGAAGACACACCGCGAACAAGGAUGCUGUCGCAUAGCCAAGGACGCGAAAAUUUUAAAUUAGUGAACAUUGUAACUCACUGUCAGGGUUUUACCUGACGAUAUUACGAUCGCAUUAAUAAUUGUUGUGCACCGAUAUGCAUUGAUGUGAACUUUCGGGCGCCCACAGGGGAGAGUGGAGGGAGAAACUAAGGUAUUAAUAAAGGCAACGCCAGAGCCUCCCUCUCGCGAGCACACGACCUGCUCGCACCCACACAUUCGCUCUCCUGACGGCACGCGAGCAAGAGGGUAACUCUCUCGCUCCCCCGCUCGUC